rnacentral:rRNA from 1 species
GACUACUGCUAUCAGGGUUCGACUAAGCCAUGCGAGCCAAGGAUUUAUCGCAAGAUAUUUCCUGGCGAAUUGCUCAGUAACACGUAGUUAACCUAACCUUAAGCGGAGGAUAACCUUGGGAAACUGAGGACAAUACUCCAUAGGUGAUAAUGGCUGGAAAGCCUCUUCACUCAAAGCCGCAAGGCACUUAAGGGUGGGACUGCGGGAGAUUAGCCUGUUGUUAGGUUAAAUGCCUAACAAAGCGAUAAUCUCUACGGGUCGUGAGAGCGAUAGCCCGGAGAUGGUUUCUGAGACAUGAAACCAGGCUCUACGGAGCGCAGCAGGCGCGAAACCUUUCCAAUGCGUGAAAGCGCGAGAAGGGAACUCUGAGUGAACUCGCAUUGCGAGUUCUUUUCUAGAAUCUAAAUAGUUCGAGGAAUAAGUGGUGGGUAAGACGGUUGCCAGCCGCCGCGGUAAUAACCGCACCACAAGUGGUAGUCACGUUUAUUGGGCCUAAAGCGUCCGUAGCCGGCUUGAUAAGUCUCUGGUGAAAUCCUACAGCAAACUGUAGGGCUUGCUGGAGAUACUACCAAGCUUGGGACCGGGAGAGGUCGAUAGUAUAUCACGGGUAAGGGUAAAAUCUUUUAAGCCGUGAUGGACUACCUGUGGCGAAGGCGAUCGACUAGAACGGGUCCGACGGUGAGGGACGAAAGCUAGGGGAGCGACCGGGAUUAGAUACCCCGUUAGUCCUAGCUGUUAACGAUGCCCGCUUGGUGUUACGGAUUUUUAGUGAAUCCGUGGUGCCGUAGCGAAGGUGUUAAGCGGGCCGCCUGGGGAGUACGACCGCAAGGUUGAAACUUAAGGGAAUUGGCGGGGGAGCACUACCAGGGGUGGAGGCUGCGGUUUAGUUGGAUUCAACGCCAGGAACCUGACCAGGAAAGACAGCAGAAUGAGGGUCACUCUAAAGGGGUUACCUGACAAGCUGAGAGGUGCUGCAUGGCCGUCGUCAGUUCGUGCCGUGAGGUGUCUUGUUAAGUCAAGAAACGAACGAGACCCAUGUCACUAGUUGCUAUUGUUUUCUCCGGAAGACAAGCACUCUAUUGAGACUGCCCGCGCUAAGUGGGAGGAAGGAAUGGUCGACGGCAGGUCUGUAUGGCCCGAAUUUCCUUGGGUUACACGCGGCCUACAAUGCGUAGGACAAUGGGAUGCAAUGCCGUGAGGCAGAGCCAAUCUCUUAAACCUAUGCUCAGUUCGGAUCGAGGGCUGCAACUCGCCCUCGUGAAGCCGGAAUCCCUAGUAAGCGAAGGUCAAUCUUUCGCUGAAUACGUCCCUGCUCCUUGCACACACCGCCCGUCAAGCCAUCUGAGUGAAGCUUUGAUGAAGCUUACGACGAGUAAGUUGAAUCAAAACUUUGCAAAGAGGGCU